rnacentral:rRNA from 1 species
CCUACGGGGGGCAGCAGUGGGGAAUAUUGGACAAUGGGGGCAACCCUGAUCCAGCCAUGCCGCGUGUGUGAAGAAGGCCCUCGGGUUGGAAAGCACUUUCAGUGAGGAAGAACGCCUGGUGGUUAAUACCCAUCAGGAAAGACAUCACUCACAGAAGAAGCACCGGCUAACUCCGUGCCAGCAGCCGCGGUAAUACGGAGGGUGCGAGCGUUAAUCGGAAUUACUGGGCGUAAAGCGCGCGUAGGUGGCUUGAUAAGCCGGUUGUGAAAGCCCCGGGCUCAACCUGGGAACGGCAUCCGGAACUGUCAAGCUAGAGUGCAGGAGAGGAAGGUAGAAUUCCCGGUGUAGCGGUGAAAUGCGUAGAGAUCGGGAGGAAUACCAGUGGCGAAGGCGGCCUUCUGGACUGACACUGACACUGAGGUGCGAAAGCGUGGGUAGCAAACAGGAUUAGAUACCCCAGUAGUC